rnacentral:rRNA from 1 species
GACGAACGCUGUCGGCGUGCUUAACACAUGCAAGUCGAACGGAAAGGCCCUGCUUUUGUGGGGUGCUCGAGUGGCGAACGGGUGAGUAACACGUGAGUAACCUGCCCUUGACUUUGGGAUAACUUCAGGAAACUGGGGCUAAUACCGGAUAGGAGCUCCUGCUGCAUGGUGGGGGUUGGAAAGUUUCGGCGGUUGGGGAUGGACUCGCGGCUUAUCAGCUUGUUGGUGGGGUAGUGGCUUACCAAGGCUUUGACGGGUAGCCGGCCUGAGAGGGUGACCGGCCACAUUGGGACUGAGAUACGGCCCAGACUCCUACGGGAGGCAGCAGUGGGGAAUAUUGCACAAUGGGCGGAGGCCUGAUGCAGCAACGCCGCGUGCGGGAUGACGGCCUUCGGGUUGUAAACCGCUUUCGCCUGUGACGAAGCGUGAGUGACGGUAAUGGGUAAAGAAGCACCGGCUAACUACGUGCCAGCAGCCGCGGUGAUACGUAGGGUGCGAGCGUUGUCCGGAUUUAUUGGGCGUAAAGGGCUCGUAGGUGGUUGAUCGCGUCGGAAGUGUAAUCUUGGGGCUUAACCCUGAGCGUGCUUUCGAUACGGGUUGACUUGAGGAAGGUAGGGGAGAAUGGAAUUCCUGGUGGAGCGGUGGAAUGCGCAGAUAUCAGGAGGAACACCAGUGGCGAAGGCGGUUCUCUGGGCCUUUCCUGACGCUGAGGAGCGAAAGCGUGGGGAGCGAACAGGCUUAGAUACCCUGGUAGUCCACGCUGUAAACGGUGGGUACUAGGUGUGGGGUCCAUUCCACGGGUUCCGUGCCGUAGCUAACGCUUUAAGUACCCCGCCUGGGGAGUACGGCCGCAAGGCUAAAACUCAAAGGAAUUGACGGGGCCCCGCACAAGCGGCGGAGCAUGCGGAUUAAUUCGAUGCAACGCGUAGAACCUUACCUGGGUUUGACAUGGAUCGGGAGUGCUCAGAGAUGGGUGUGCCUCUUUUGGGGUCGGUUCACAGGUGGUGCAUGGCUGUCGUCAGCUCGUGUCGUGAGAUGUUGGGUUAAGUCCCGCAACGAGCGCAACCCUUGUUCACUGUUGCCAGCACGUUAUGGUGGGGACUCAGUGGAGACCGCCGGGGUCAACUCGGAGGAAGGUGGGGAUGACGUCAAGUCAUCAUGCCCCUUAUGUCCAGGGCUUCACGCAUGCUACAAUGGCUGGUACAGAGAGUGGCGAGCCUGUGAGGGUGAGCGAAUCUCGGAAAGCCGGUCUCAGUUCGGAUUGGGGUCUGCAACUCGACCUCAUGAAGUCGGAGUCGCUAGUAAUCGCAGAUCAGCAACGCUGCGGUGAAUACGUUCCCGGGGCU